CCCUUAGAUGUCCUGGGCCGCACGCGCGUUACACUGAUGCAUUCAACGAGCUUAUAACCUUGGCCGAGAGGCCUGGGCAAUCUUGUUAACGUGCAUCGUGAUAGGGAUAGAUUAUUGAAAUUAUUAAUCUUGAACGAGGAAUUCCUAGUAAACGCAGAUCAUCAAUCUGCAUUGAUUACGUCCCUGCCCUUUGUACACACCGCCCGCCGCACCUACCGAUUGGAUGGUCCGGUGAAGCCUCGGGAUUGUGGUUCUUGCCGCUUUGUUGUGGCGUGACCGCGAGAACUUGUCUAAACCUUAUCAUCUAGAGGAAGGUGAAGUCGUAACA
rnacentral:rRNA from 1 species